rnacentral:misc_RNA from 1 species
UGGUUCUGGCAUCGAUGAAGAACGCAGCGAAACGCGAUAAGUAAUGCGAAUUGCAGAAUUCAGUGAGUCAUCGAAUCUUUGAACGCACAUUGCGCCCUUUGGUAUUCCGAAGGGCAUGCCUGUUCGAGCGUCAUUAUCAACCCUCAAGCCUUUGCUUGGUAUUGAGAAUUGGAUUUGGAGACAUUUCCAAUCUUGAAAUGCAAUGACUGGUGAAAUGUUGACCCGGUACAAUGAGUCUUCUAGACACGUACUUGCGGAAGGCACCAACUUGUCUUGACUAUUAUUUCUAUGGUUGACCUCGGAUCAGGUAGGAAUACCCGCUGA